ACGCUCGACACCUAUGGGAGGCAGCAGUGGGGAAUAUUGCACAAUGGGGGAAACCCUGAUGCAGCGACGCCGCGUGAAGGAAGAAGUAUUUCGGUAUGUAAACUUCUAUCAGCAGGGAAGAAGAUGACGGUACCUGAGUAAGAAGCACCGGCUAAAUACGUGCCAGUAGCCGCGGUAAUCUGAGCGGGCUGGCAAGGC
rnacentral:rRNA from 1 species